rfam:Oryza brachyantha chromosome 11, whole genome shotgun sequence.
UGUAAUCUUUGACUCUUCGUUUUAUUUAAUUUUCUUUUGCGAUUGAUAUUUUUGUUUUUAUUAGAUGAUAAAUCAUAAAUAGUACUUUACGUGUGACUAUUUUUUUUCUAAUUUUCUGAAAAAUUUUCAAAUAAGACGGAUCGUCAAACACUGGGCACACAAAUCGA